rnacentral:pre_miRNA from 1 species
UAGAUACUCCCUCCGUCCGGAAAUACUUGUCAUCAAAAUGGAUAAAAGGAGAUGUAUCUAGACGUAUUUUAGUUCUAGAUACAUCCCUUUUUAUCUAUUUUGAUGACAAGUAUUUUCGGAUGGAGGGAGUAGAUA